rnacentral:rRNA from 1 species
AUUGAACGCUGGCGGCAGGCCUAACACAUGCAAGUCGCGCGAGCGGCGGCCGGGUGGGUAAUGUAUGGGGAUCUGCCUGAUGGAGGGGGAUAACUACUGGCAACGGUAGCUAAUACCGCCUACCAUCAAAUGACCCCAUAUGGGAUUAGCUUGUAGGUAAGGUAACGGCUUACCUAGGCGACGAUCCCUAGCUGGUCUGAGAGGAUGAUAAGUCAGUAUGGGAGUGAGACACGGCCCAGACGCCUCAGGGAGGCAGCAGUGGGGAAUAUGGGUCAAUGGGCGCAAGUUUGAUGCAGCCAUGGCGCGUGUAUGCAGAAGGCGAUCGGUUCGUAAAGUACGUUCAGUCGGGCGGAGUUACCGGCAGAAGAAGCACCGGAUAAUUCCGUGCCAGCAGCCGCGGUAAUUC